rnacentral:lncRNA from 1 species
UUGGACUUUCACUGUUAGAGCUUUUGAUUCUUCUCGUCCUGAACGUACCAUUAGUGUGAGCUACGAUGGUUUCGCUGAAGGUAUAUGUAAUUCUGUUUAUGUAAAAGUGGAAGUGGAGAACUUUAGAUGAAUAGGAAUCAAUUGGUUUUGUUUGUGAUGUAGAUGUAAGAGUUGGGGAUGAACUUCUAGUUGAUGGUGGAAUGGUGAGAUUUGAAGUGAUUGAGAAGAUUGGUCCUGAUGUUAAGUGUCUAUGUACCGAUCCUGGAUUGUUGCUUCCUCGAGCUAACUUGACGUUUUGGAGAGAUGGAAGUCUUGUACGAGAGCGUAAUGCCAUGCUUCCAACUAUUUCUUCCAAGGUUUGUAAUUUUUUAUCUUCCUAAGGUUUGGGUUAUGAUUCACUUUAUUUGGUAAAUUUAGGAGGGAUCAAAGCAAUGUGAGGAUGUACAUUUUUGGAACCUAGAUGAGUCCAUGUUAGCAAAACAGAGGAUAAAUAAAGUAAAGUAACUACGAAAGAUACAAGUAGCUAUAUCACAAUAGCAGUUCGUUCUCUAAGUAACUAGAGUCCAUGUGAAUCUAUGAGUGUUGAUUUUAAAUGCGAAGUCUUUAUUUUAUCUCCUAAUUAAUGCUGAAGGAGGAAUGAUGUUCUUACUCAGAAAUUAGAACAUAUAGAAUAUCUCCCUGAGGGAAUCAGGGAGAACAUACUCAUUUUCACUGAUGAUACCUUAAUUCUUUAUUUUCAGGAUUGGUUGGAUAUUGAUUUUGGAAUUGCUGAAGGUGUGGAUUUCAUUGCUGUAUCGUUUGUCAAGUCGGCUGAAGUUAUUAAUCACCUUAAAAGUUAUCUUGCUGCUCGUUCCCGUGGAGGGUAAGUAAACAUGCUCAAUAUCAACACAUUUUACUACUGUAUAAGAAAGAUAUGAUCUACUUUGGGGGUCAGGCUAUAAUAGGAUUUGGUUUUGCGUUAUGUUAACACCAUCUUUAUUUUGAUGUUGUAUUCAUUUAUGAUGCAGGGAAAUUGGAGUAAUUGCAAAGAUCGAGAGUAUCGAUUCAUUGACCAAUUUGGAAGAAAUUAUUCUAGCGUCAGAUGGAGCCAUGGUCGCAAGAGGAGAUCUGGGAGCUCAGAUACCUCUUGAGCAAGUUCCAGCAGCUCAACAGAGAAUCGUGCAAGUCUGCAGAGGGCUGAACAAACCUGUCAUCGUUGCUUCACAGCUACUUGAGUCCAUGAUUGAGUACCCAACUCCAACCAGAGCAGAAGUUGCCGAUGUGUCUGAAGCAGUAAGACAAAGAUCAGAUGCAUUGAUGCUCUCUGGAGAAUCAGCUAUGGGUCAAUUCCCAGACAAGGCGCUCACGGUUCUAAGGACUGUCAGUUUAAGAAUCGAGAGAUGGUGGAGGGAAGAGAAACGCCACGAGUCUGUGCCGCUUCAAGCCAUAGGCUCUACCUUUUCAGACAAAAUCUCAGAAGAGAUUUGUAACUCUGCUGCUAAAAUGGGUAAAUAAUUCAGGUUCAUUGUUUAUCUCAAAAGAAUCUGUCUUGAGUAUCUCAUUUUAUCAUCCAAAAACUUGCAGCUAACAAUCUUGGAGUGGACGCGGUUUUCGUCUACACAACAAGCGGACACAUGGCGUCAUUGGUCUCCCGAUGUCGCCCAGACUGCCCGAUCUUUGCUUUCACAACCACAACCUCGGUGAGAAGACGCUUAAACCUACAAUGGGGGCUUAUCCCAUUCCGUCUCAGCUUCUCAGACGACAUGGAAAGCAACUUGAACAAAACAUUCUCGUUACUGAAAUCAAGAGGCAUGAUAAAAUCUGGUGACCUCGUGAUCGCAGUCUCGGACAUGUUGCAAUCAAUCCAGGUAAUGAACGUCCCGUAAUUUCUCC